CGAGUCAGCCAGGCGGCCGCGUCGCAGAGAACCAGCACCUCGUGGUGCCAGGCUCCGCGCCGAGGAAAGUCCGGACUCCGCAGAGCAGGACGGUUGCUAACGGCAACCCGGGGUGACCCGCGGGAAAGUGCCACAGAAAACAAACCGCCGGUGCGCGUGCGCCGGUAAGGGUGAAACGGUGCGGUAAGAGCGCACCAGCAACCUGGGUGACCAGGUUGGCUAGGUAAACCCCGUCCGGAGCAAGGCUGAAGGUCGCACCGCUUGGUGCGACUGCGCGGGUGCACGAGGGCUGCUCGCCUGAGCCCGCGGGUGAGCCGCAUGAGGCACCCGGUGACGGUGUGCCCAGAUGGAUGGUCGCCGCUCCACGUGCCGUACGGCAGGGAGAACAGGAUCCGGCUUACAGGCUGACUCGUCCG
rnacentral:RNase_P_RNA from 1 species